rnacentral:lncRNA from 1 species
AUGUUAAUGUACAGCAAGAGAUAUCCAUGCACAAGAAGACACAAAGUGGGAUCUGUGAAUCCGUUUAGCCACCACACAGGAGUGAGAGAUUAUUCAAUUACCGUGGCUGGGUGGAAACAAGCAAGUGCAACAUCAAACUAUGUUGGGCAUUUCUUCAAUGGAUAUUUUGUUCUAAAUCAAAGCAUAUUGCCAACUAAUAAGGUAAACACAAUGCAGUUCAGUUAGGAAAGAAGUAGGUUAAACCAGCUGUUCAUUUACUUUCUCUGCGUCAGAAGCAGGAACUCAGUGAGUUCCUUGAACUCGGCAUUCUCUUUUCUUUCAACUUUGUAUAUAUGCCUUCACAAUCUCCUGGUUUUUUUUUGUUGUUUUUUUUUUCCCCUUCAUACUGCAGGCAAUAACUGUGAAACUCUUUAAUUUAACAAUAUGUUCUUUGUCCUGCAACUGUUCCUGUUUUGCAACCACAUAGAUUAUAUGUAUGGGCCUGUAGGAAUAGUCAAACAGUUAAUAAGGGUAGGGUUUGGCAUGCUUUCACUAUGUACAAAUUCUACAAUCAAGUCCUGACAGGAAAGCACUGUAUCUCGUGUGGUUCCCAGUCCUGACUAAAAUAUGCAAAAUAUGACUACUGGGAAUGAUACCUAUUUCCCAAAGGAUAAUACCUUUUUUUUUUUUUUUUUUCUUAUCAAUGCAUCAUUGAAAAGUAUUUUGUUUAUAUUUAUGCCAUUUAUUUUCCCAAGCAUACUAGGUUUUCAAAAGUGACCCAUGGUUCAUUGUGCUUAAGAUAUAGAGGUGUUAUUUCAAAUUGUGUUACACCCUUAAUACAGUGUGAAUGAAAGAACUACAAAGAGACCUAUACCAAAUAACUGUAUUAACCCCUGAGGUUAAAUACUCAUCUGCAUGAUUCUCUGGCUCUUCUGGUUCACCCAUGUGCCCUGUGCUUGAGUGUAGUGCACAUCCUACAAGAAGAUAGAAAUGCACUGUGCAAAGGGCACUGCAGCACAGAGGUACUGCAAACAGGAUGAGGAGAGCAAGGGUCUACUCUUCAAAGCAGCUGCACAAACUCAGUUACUGAUCCUGCUGAUGAGAUGGGAACCUGAGUAAAAUCCAAUGUGUUCCUCUAGGGUUGCAUCAAGAGCAUCAGGAACACAAGGCAGGGAACACAGUAAACAAAAACCACUUUAUUUGUAUCUAAUAAAGUAAACAGUCAUCAGUGUGAACA